rnacentral:sRNA from 1 species
CACACGUGAGGCAUGGGGCUUUCCGGGAGAAAUCCGGAUCGUUCCGCCGGUGGCAGGGCUAACGGGUCCUGCUGUUCGCCUUGCGGAGGUUCAACCGGAAAAGGAGAAAAAGG